CUCUGUGAUGCUUUACGAGAACCUGGC
rnacentral:piRNA from 1 species